rnacentral:misc_RNA from 1 species
UUUUUUUUUUUUUAAAAUAAGUAUCAUUUAGAGGAGCCCAAAAAAUAAAUGGACCUUAAUGUCAUACAGAUACUAGCAUACAAUGAAUGAGUCCAUGGUUUACUCCCUCGAGACACAGCACUUUGAUCACGAAAAAUUGCUCCUAGCUAAUUUUUGCCACACAUUGCACCGUGAGGAAAAGAUUAUUCUGUAAUGAUCUAUGAACAAGGGUAUUGUACAUUUCCAAAGUCUCUCUCAACCGGGUGUAAUAAAGAUAGUGUACAGGCUGAAAUAAUUCAACUAUUCCUAGAGGAGCACUUGGAAGAUGAGAAAACUAACUUGAACAACAAAGCUUUAGGUCUAAACAUCACAUGCAUGGAAUAAACGCU